rnacentral:lncRNA from 1 species
AGUCUAAUCAUCAAUAGCCAUUUAUUUAUUGCAAGGGACAUAUAAAUCUCUUACAAAAUUAAAAUGAUAGUAGUUACAAAUUAUUCAGUAACGAAAAAGAAAAUAAAAAAAUUAUUAUUAAGAAUAAAACUUUUUCAAAACUCUUCUCUCGGUUUUGAUUUUUCGAUACGGGUUGAAGCGUUUGGUUUCAGUGGAGGUCUUUGGCUUCUUUGGUCUGAUAGGGGUUUUACAACUGUUGUCAUUCAUACUCAUGCUCAAUUCAUGGUUUGUAGAGUUGCACCUGGGCCUAGUACGCCAUGGAAUAUAGUUUUUGUUUAUGGCAGUCUCUCGUUAAACAAGUACUCUUGCAAUUAACAAGGAGAAUCUAGCAAAGAACAUGCAAUCACGGAAGUACCCGUCAAUCCCUAAAUCCCCAAGUACUCUUGAAAAGAGAAAGAAAGGAAGUUAGAACAAGAAAACAGAAACUUACCUUCAAGUACUCUUGAAAACAAAUCUGGGAUUCUUGAUGCAAUUAAUCUUGUAGAACUCACAAGCUCAAUUACUAAUGAAUGGAAAAUGGUUGCUUUCAUUCAAAGAAGAAAACUCAUAUAUA